GAUGAACGCUGGCGGCGUGCCUAAUACAUGCAAGUCGAGCGAACAGACGAGGAGCUUGCUCCUCUGACGUUAGCGGCGGACGGGUGAGUAACACGUGGAUAACCUACCUAUAAGACUGGGAUAACUUCGGGAAACCGGAGCUAAUACCGGAUAAUAUAUUGAACCGCAUGGUUCAAUAGUGAAAGACGGUUUUGCUGUCACUUAUAGAUGGAUCCGCGCCGCAUUAGCUAGUUGGUAAGGUAACGGCUUACCAAGGCAACGAUGCGUAGCCGACCUGAGAGGGUGAACGGCCACACUGGAACUGAGACACGGUCCAGACUCCUACGGGAGGCAGCAGUAGGGAAUCUUCCGCAAUGGGCGAAAGCUUGACGGAGCAACGCCGCGUGAGUGAUGAAGGUCUUCGGAUCGUAAAACUCUGUUACUAGGGAAGAACAAAUGUGUAAGUAACUAUGCACGUCUUGACGGUACCUAAUCAGAAAGCCACGGCUAACUACGUG
rnacentral:rRNA from 1 species